AACAGCGUAAUUUUUUUUAAGAGUUCAAAUCGAAAAAAGAGAUUGCGACCUCGAUGUUG
rnacentral:tRNA from 1 species